GAGCCCGAUGUGGAGCUGGAUCCCAGGACCCUGAGAUCAUGACCUGAGCCAGAGGCAUAAGUUUAACCAACUGAGCCACCCAGGUGCCCCUUAACAGGAACAUUUUUUAAAAGGAAGGCAAAGACACUGGGAAAAAGUGAAUAUAGCUCUAUAGUUUCUGUGAGGGGAAAAAAAAAAAAUUUAAAAUGUUUCUCUGAGUUCAUGAGCCACUCUAGGAAAUUAAUUUAGUGGAGAAGAGUGUUGUGGGACCUUCUGAUUUCUAGCCAGAGGUCAGAAGCACAAGUAACAGCCCAUAGGAGUCUGAAAUGUGUGGGGGGAGUAGGGGAGUGGGGAGGUGGCAGUCUUGAAAGACUGAACCCUUAACCUGUGGAAUCUAAUACUAUCUGCAGGUAGAUAUUGUCAGACUUGAGUUGAAUUGUUAAAUGUUCAGCAGGGCACUGCUUGUAUGUGUAAGAACUAAACCCGCAAUACACAUUGAAAUUGGGUCCAGAAAACCAAAAUAUUUAUACUUAUUCAGUGCUAUCUGGUCACCUAUUAAUAGUAUCUGAACUGGAGAGCUAGGAAAGUCAACUGAUUUUUAUAAAAUAGUAAUUUUUAAGUUAAAAUAUUAAAAAUACAAUAUUACAAUAAUAUUUAAUAUUUUAAAACUGAUUCAUCAGAUAUAUAAUUUAUAUAUUUAUAAAUUACUUUUAAAAUGUUUUAACAGAAGAAUCUCAUAGCUUUGUACAAUUCUUUUGUGAAUAGUGUCCUCCUAACACCACCCCGGAAAUUCUUAGUGCUUCUUGCUUUAUUUUUCUCUGUACAACUUAGGAAAGGGGGCAUGCACCGUAGGAGUGUACACAUGUGAUCAUAAUCCAUUUUGCAGUUCGGCAAAAAGAAAAUGUUGAGAACCUCUGCUUUAGAGGGUAGCUACUAGCCUUGUUGGGGAUGAAAGUGGAGUACAUGUGCUUUUGAACUCUGAAGUUUGCCAGACUAAAAAGUAGUGUUUCUGAAAACCACUGUUUUUUAUGAACACUUCAAAAAAGUAUUUGUAGUUGAGUUUGGGCAGGAUUCUGUAUUCCCUACAUUUUUGAAGCCCUACAGCCAUUUCUCAUCCCCAUAGGUAUGUAAAUUAAAAUGAAGCCACUUCAGAGCAUCUGAGUUUCACAAGUAAGAUUUCCUGUUUUCUAUUUAUGCAUAGAGUUAAAAGACAGUAUUUUAUGUCUCUGCACCUGCUAAAGCAAGUUGUCUGUGAUUUGACAGGUUUAAUUAAUAGAUUUUCAUGGGUAGAUAGGAUGAAUAGUUCCUAUUCUUUAAAAUCGUUUAAAAAUACAUCAUUGUACUACAGCUUUUCUUAAGAGUUCUUAGUUUAGAUGUAAAUGAGAAAAAUAUAAUAACUUAGUAUAAUUCUAUCUGUCUAUAUGUUUUGAGAUCCAGAACUAACUAGGAAUAAAGGCAAAAGAAGUGUCUGGACUGAGCUUAGAAACUGACUUCUCAUAUGAUCCUAGAUUGGUGGCCUCUGAAUAUUUAAUCAUACAUCCUUGUCAGUGAAAGAACUUCUGCGUAUACCUAUAAAUGUAUGCCUAUAAAAUACAUACGUUCACUACUAUACAUUAUAAGAUACACAUAGGAAAAAAAACAAAAUAUAAAGGAUGGUGAAGAUAUUUUAAAACAUUUGCCAUUAGAUGGCUUCAUUAAGCUAAUAUUUCAAGACAUAAGUUUUAUCAGUAAUAUUAGAUAUGAAUCCACUUGAAGUACUUUUUACAAUUACAUUUUUUUGUGAAAUCUGACUACAUCAUUGGUUUUCCUUCAUAAUAUUUGUGAGAGUGUACUACGCAAAAAAGAAAAAAAGUAUAAGAGUAUUAAGAGUAUGUACUAAGAGUGUACUAAGAGUAGGAUGUGUCAAUACAUAUUUGUCAAAUAUGUGAAAAUAAAAUCACAUCUAUUAGGA